UACGUAGGGUGCAAGCGUUGUCCGGAAUUAUUGGGCGUAAAGAGCUCGUAGGCGGUUUGUCGCGUCGGCUGUGAAAACCUGGGGCUCAACCCCGGGCCUGCAGUCGAUACGGGCAGACUAGAGUGCGGUAGGGGAGACUGGAAUUCCUGGUGUAGCGGUGAAAUGCGCAGAUAUCAGGAGGAACACCAGUGGCGAAGGCGGGUCUCUGGACAGUUCCUGACACUGAGGCACGAAGGCCAGGGGAGCAAACGGG
rnacentral:rRNA from 1 species